rnacentral:rRNA from 1 species
AUGCAUUCGUCGGGUGGCGAGAUGGAGGCGGUGGAGAAGGCGAUGCGUGACAAGCGGAUGGAGGAGAGGGAGAAACGUGAGGCGGUGAUGGAGGAGCGGAUGGCAAAGAAGGAGGAGGAGGAGGCGGAGAAGGCAAAGAAAGCGGCGAUGAUAAAGGCCGCGAAGGAAUUUGUUGAAGCGACGGGGAGGAAGAUCUUAGAGAAAAGGGGGGAACCCGAGGAUCCCUUUGAACAGUUUCGUGGUUUCUGGACGAGGGUUUGGGGCGAAGACGGCUAUUUUGGUAAAUUCGAGGAUGAGAUGCAGUUCUUUUCAGUCAAAGUUGCAAAGAUUGACGAGAGUUUAAAGUGGCCGCUUGAUGUGUAUGGGUUCUUUUCCGUACGUGAUGUGGUGGAUCACAAACGCAACAUGAUCUUCUCCUGCGACAGGGAUAACUGCCAGACCAUCAGCCAAGAGGAUCCCUAUCUAACGCUGACAGGUCCAACCCGUGCUGUUGUGGUGACAUCAGAUCCUUCGUACUUUGAGAUUGAGCUGAAAGUGAAGGGCACUGCUGAAUCUGAGGAUAAAUAUUUAAGCCGCCUAGUUAUGACAUACAGGACGGGUUUUCUGGAUAGAAGUUUCACUAGUGGGCUUAGCACUCUGGAGAUGGCAUUCAAAGAGAUCAUCCAAUCUGUGGAGGCCACAAUCAGUGUAAAAGUCGUUGAUGGAUCAUGGCCAGAUGGUUUUCGUGGUGUAUUUUGUGCGAGCAUCGAUGACAUAGCUGGCUUGAAAGUCAAGUUGCUGGAAUGUGGAGAUGAUAGAUUGCCUCUUGAUGCUGAUGGCAACAUCAAGCUUAGAUGCAAGGUCGUUUCUGUUGGACUUGAGGGAUUGCUGAGGAUUUCUGUCAUGGCACACUGUAUUAAUGGGGAUCAGGUUGUGGAGAGUCAUUGCAGAGAAGAUGUUAAGAGUCAUGAAGUAGUGUUUGAACCCAGGAGAUCGGGUACAAGCUCCAAUACUGAGCUUAAGAUUGGCUCUUGCAGAAUGGAAGUCACUGUGAGCUGGUCCCUUUUCUCUUAUCAGCUGUAA